rnacentral:miRNA from 1 species
AGACCGAAGGCGAGAAUGGAGC